rnacentral:rRNA from 1 species
UACGGAGGGGGCUAGCGUUGUUCGGAAUUACUGGGCGUAAAGCGCACGUAGGCGGCUUUGUAAGUUAGAGGUGAAAGCCCAGGGCUUAACCCUGGAAUUGCCUUUAAGACUGCAUCGCUAGAAUCGUGGAGAGGUGAGUGGAAUUCCGAGUGUAGAGGUGAAAUGCGUAGAUAUCAGGAGGAACACCGGUGGUGUAGACGGCUCACUGGACCGUAACUGACGCUGAAACACGAAAGCGUGGGUAGCAAACAGG